GACGAACGCUGGCGGCGUGCCUAAUACAUGCAAGUAGAACGCACAGGAUGCACCGUAGUUUACUACACCGUAUUCUGUGAGUUGCGAACGGGUGAGUAACGCGUAGGUAACCUGCCUGGUAGUGGGGGAUAACUAUUGGAAACGAUAGCUAAUACCGCAUAAGAACAUUUACUGCAUGGUAGAUGUUUAAAAGGUGCAAAAGCAUCACUACCAGAUGGACCUGCGUUGUAUUAGCUAGUUGGUGAGGUAACGGCUCACCAAGGCAACGAUACAUAGCCGACCUGAGAGGGUGAUCGGCCACACUGGGACUGAGACACGGCCCAGACUCCUACGGGAGGCAGCAGUAGGGAAUCUUCGGCAAUGGGGGGAACCCUGACCGAGCAACGCCGCGUGAGUGAAGAAGGUUUUCGGAUCGUAAAGCUCUGUUGUUAAGGAGGAACGUGUGUGAGAGUGGAAAGUCACACAGUGACGUACUACCAAAAAGGACG
rnacentral:rRNA from 1 species